rnacentral:misc_RNA from 1 species
UACUUUAGUCUUUUGCUUUUCCUGCAAUAAUGAUAGAACAUAGAGAACAAUCCUUUCAGAAUACCAGCAUAAAAUAUUAUGCCAAAAAUUAAUGGCAAAGUGAUGAACUAAAAUCUUUAAGCACUGUAAAUACUCACACGUUUAAGUAAUUUUCACUUUCUUGCAAAUUUUACAUUUCUUACCUCAUUUUCAUGCCACACAAAUCCAGAGAAACGGGAUAUAUUACUCUUGAUCAGAAUUGCCUGCAAAAGUAAGGAAAGUUGCAUAAAGGUAGGAACAUUGUGAGUUUUAGCUUUUCCACCCCACAGGCAAUCCAUGUUCAAGGUUUUUU